rnacentral:lncRNA from 1 species
CACCGAUCCGAACAAGGUGGAAUACGUCGACCGUUAGGGCUGUCACUACCCUAAGGCUACCACAACAAUCCGCAGGAUUGGGUGCAAUUCCGGGUAAUCGCAAGACUAAACACCACGUCUAAUCUAUUAAUUACUACUCUAGCGUUAUAAAGACUAUAGCACUUGAUGCAAGCGGGAAUCCAAUAAAUAACUUGAAUGUAAAUAAAAGUAAUUAAAGAACUCAGGAAUUAUGAAUUGAAGAACCUGG